rnacentral:rRNA from 1 species
GGGUUGUGAGGUUAAGCGACUAAGCGUACACGGUGGAUGCCCUGGCAGUCAGAGGCGAUGAAGGACGUGCUAAUCUGCGAUAAGCGUCGGUAAGGUGAUAUGAACCGUUAUAACCGGCGAUUUCCGAAUGGGGAAACCCAGUGUGAUUCGUCACACUAUCAUUAACUGAAUCCAUAGGUUAAUGAGGCGAACCGGGGGAACUGAAACAUCUAAGUACCCCGAGGAAAAGAAAUCAACCGAGAUUCCCCCAGUAGCGGCGAGCGAACGGGGAGGAGCCCAGAGCCUGAAUCAGUGUGUGUGUUAGUGGAAGCGUCUGGAAAGGCGCGCGAUACAGGGUGACAGCCCCGUACACAAAAAUGCACAUGCUGUGAGCUCGAUGAGUAGGGCGGGACACGUGGUAUCCUGUCUGAAUAUGGGGGGACCAUCCUCCAAGGCUAAAUACUCCUGACUGACCGAUAGUGAACCAGUACCGUGAGGGAAAGGCGAAAAGAACCCCGGCGAGGGGAGUGAAAAAGAACCUGAAACCGUGUACGUACAAGCAGUGGGAGCACAGAGCAAUCUGUGUGACUGCGUACCUUUUGUAUAAUGGGUCAGCGACUUAUAUUCUGUAGCAAGGUUAACCGAAUAGGGGAGCCGAAGGGAAACCGAGUCUUAACUGGGCGUUAAGUUGCAGGGUAUAGACCCGAAACCCGGUGAUCUAGCCAUGGGCAGGUUGAAGGUUGGGUAACACUAACUGGAGGACCGAACCGACUAAUGUUGAAAAAUUAGCGGAUGACUUGUGGCUGGGGGUGAAAGGCCAAUCAAACCGGGAGAUAGCUGGUUCUCCCCGAAAGCUAUUUAGGUAGCGCCUCGUGAAUUCAUCUCCGGGGGUAGAGCACUGUUUCGGCAAGGGGGUCAUCCCGACUUACCAACCCGAUGCAAACUGCGAAUACCGGAGAAUGUUAUCACGGGAGACACACGGCGGGUGCUAACGUCCGUCGUGAAGAGGGAAACAACCCAGACCGCCAGCUAAGGUCCCAAAGUCAUGGUUAAGUGGGAAACGAUGUGGGAAGGCCCAGACAGCCAGGAUGUUGGCUUAGAAGCAGCCAUCAUUUAAAGAAAGCGUAAUAGCUCACUGGUCGAGUCGGCCUGCGCGGAAGAUGUAACGGGGCUAAACCAUGCACCGAAGCUGCGGCAGCGACGCUUAUGCGUUGUUGGGUAGGGGAGCGUUCUGUAAGCCUGCGAAGGUGUGCUGUGAGGCAUGCUGGAGGUAUCAGAAGUGCGAAUGCUGACAUAAGUAACGAUAAAGCGGGUGAAAAGCCCGCUCGCCGGAAGACCAAGGGUUCCUGUCCAACGUUAAUCGGGGCAGGGUGAGUCGACCCCUAAGGCGAGGCCGAAA